GCUGGGCAUGGUGGUACACGCCUGUAAUCCCGGCUACUCAGGAGGCUGAGGCAGGAGAAUUGCUUGAGCCCAGGAGGCCGAGGUUGCAGUGAGCCAAGAUCAUGCCACUGCACUCCAGCCUGGGCAACAGAGUGAGACUCCGCCUCAA
ensembl:misc_RNA Metazoa_SRP Metazoan signal recognition particle RNA